CCGUCCAGGCGGGUGCGGGAAAGGCUCAAACGCAAACGGGCCCCUGUAUUUAUACAUGCCGAGUUCCUGUUGCCGCCGGGAAAGGCUCGUGUAUCUUUCUGCAGGACAACCCCCACCAAUUAAAGUGGAAUAUUGGGAGUCAGCAGCCAUAAUUUGUUUGGUUUUCCGUCUCUGAGGACUGGCACUUGCUCGCUGUACAGCCUUCAAACAGCUACAUUCCCAGCUCUCAGCUCACAUGCCAAAAUAAGAAAGCAUAGAGAGAAGUACAGCUCUGAAUAGCUACACCAUUUACAGUGGAAGUCAGAGGUGUAUUAUACCAGUCACCAUUGACUUUAUACAGCUUGUAUCCCUUUGUAUGCCUUGUCGUUUACUCACCAAGCUGCUGUUUUCAACGGGGAGGAAGAAAAGAAAUAAAAACGUGGAUCAGUUUUUUGGAGGUUGAAA